AGUGAACGCUGGCGAUAGGCCUAACACAUGCAAGUCGAACGGCAGCACAGUAAGAGCUUGCUCUUACGGGUGGCGAGUGGCGGACGGGUGAGGAAUACAUCGGAAUCUACUUUUUCGUGGGGGAUAACGUAGGGAAACUUACGCUAAUACCGCAUACGACCUACGGGUGAAAGCAGGGGAUCUUCGGACCUUGCGCGAUUGAAUGAGCCGAUGUCGGAUUAGCUAGUUGGCGGGGGAAAGGCCCACCAAGGCGACGAUCCGUAGCUGGUCUGAGAGGAUGGUCAGCCACACUGGAACUGAGACAGGGUCCAGACUCCUGCGGGAGGGAGCAGUGGGGAAUAGGGGACAAUGGGCGCAAGCCUGAUCCAGCGAUACCGCGUGGGUGAAGAAGGCCUUCGGGUUGUAAAGACCUUUUGUUGGGAAAGAAAAGCAGCAGGUUAAUACCCCGCUGUUCUGACGGUACCCAAAGAAUAAGCACCGGCUAACUUCGUG
rnacentral:rRNA from 1 species